rnacentral:rRNA from 1 species
GACGAACGCUGGCGGCGUGCCUAACACAUGCAAGUCGAGCGGGGUUGAGGCGAGAGGUAACUCGAGCUUCUACCUAGCGGCGGACGGGUGAGUAACGCGUGGGCAACCUGCCUCAAGGUUUGGGAUAACAGCCCGAAAGGGCUGCUAAUACCGGAUAUGCCUAUGGCCUCGCAUGGGGCUAUGAGCAAAGGGGAAACCCGCCUUGAGAUGGGCCCGCGUCCCAUCAGCUAGUUGGUGAGGUAACAGCUCACCAAGGCGACGACGGGUAGCCGGCCUGAGAGGGUGACCGGCCACACUGGGACUGAGACACGGCCCAGACUCCUACGGGAGGCAGCAGCUAAGAAUCUUCCGCAAUGGGGGCAACCCUGACGGAGCGACGCCGCGUGAACGAGGAAGGCCGAAAGGUUGUAAAGUUCUUUUCUUGGGGAAGAAUAAAGGGAAGAGGGAAUGCUUCUCUGAUGACGGUAACCGAGGAAAAAGCCCCGGCCAAUUACGUGCCAGCAGCCGCGGUAAUACGUCUA